CACCGCGCCCCUCGCGGCGCCGCUCCCAAACUCGCGGGGAGCCUCGCCUCGAGCUAAAACAGCUGAUUUAACUUAAGCUUAAUUGAAUUGCACUAAAUUAAAUUAAACCGGGGGUCUGUUCCCGCCGCGGCGUGAGCGCCUCUCCUCGCGAGAGGUCGCCCCCGGCAACGCCGCGGCCAUGGCGGAGGCGGCCGGCUCUGAGGCGGCGUUCUGCCUGCAGAACAUUACCAUAACAGAUGAUUCUAAAGAUGAUUAUCAGUGUGAAGAGGUUUCUGCAGAUGAUGAAUUUAGUCUUCAGGAGGAGGAUGAGGAUCUGUCCAAGGCUUUACAGGCUGUUCAAGAGCAGGCUGAAGAUGCUCAAAUUUUAACUUCAGAAUCAGUUCUGACUUUGGAGAAAUCAGUGUGUGAAGUACCUGAAGCAAUGGAUGAUUUCUUCUGCAAUUUCCUGGUCAGACUGGGAAUGUCCAGAACCCUUGACUGCUUCCAAACUGAAUGGUAUGAACUCAUAGAGAGGGGUGUGCUCACGCUCAAAGAUGCUGGGUUGGUUCCAACUGUGUACACCCACAACCAGCAACUGCAGGCUGAGAAUAUGAGUUUGAAGAAAGAUUUGGAAAACUACAAACUUGCUGCCAAUAAAACAAAAGAGGCUCUCCUGAAAAUGCAGAAAGAACGAGACUUCCAUCGGAUGCACCAUAGGCGAGUGGUCCAGGAGAAGAACAGACUGAUUUGUGAUAUGAAAAGGCUGAAGGCACAUUAUGCAUCCUAUGAGCCAGUGCUGAAGCAGCUGUCUGAGAAAUAUGAGACUAUGCUGAAGCAGAAGAUGUUAACUAGUUUGGAGAGAGACAAAGCAGUGGGGCAGGUUACAGGUUUGCAGGCUGUGUUAGAAAAUUUAGACUCCGGAGGUGUUAAGCAGAUUUCUGAGGCAAAAGUCCACGAUUGUACAAGGAAGAAAGACUUUGAAGGUCCCACCCAGAAAGCUCUUCGGGAAGCCAGGCAGCAGAAAAUCAUUGUUGCUGCAAGUUCUUCAUCUGAUCCAGUCAAAGAUGCAGAGAAGAAGAUGGACAAGAGAGACCUGAAGUUCAGCUUAAGUAAUUCAUGGAUGAAACUAGAUCCCUUUCAAAUUACUGAAUUGUGAUUGAAAUAUGAAAUAAGCACUCAGACCCCUGAAAUCUGGAAGGAAAGGCUCAGUAACCCAAGUGAAACCUCUGCCAGCAGGGAGUCUGAGGUGGGACAGAUGUGUGCUGGAAACCAGCCUGUAGUGAUGGAUCUACAAGGUGGGGUUUGUGCCAGGGGAACAGAAAUAAUUUCAGCAUCAUAUUUAGACAAUGAAGGUAAAUCAAAUCUGCUGCCACUAAAUGCAACCCCUUUGUAAAGCACAACUGCUAAACAGUUUUAUGGACACAUCGGGAAUCUUUUCAUAUUGCAAAUUCAUGUUUAUUUAAGUGCAAGCUAAUGUCUUAAUGUGGCCAUGAUCUGAGAUUGGUUUUGGGGACAAAAAGCACAAUAUAUUAUUUGUACUGUAGUGGUUUUCCUUUCAGUCAUUCUCUCUUCCCUAGCAGCUCCCCUUCUCUUCCCUUCUUCUGCUGUUUUUGUAAAUACUCUAAAUAAUUUCAACUAAGGUGCUGAAUUACAAAGUUUGAAAACACAAGUUUGAAAGCCUAGUUGUAGAAUUCUGUUACUCAACACACAGGCCAAAUAAUGUUGAAGUAAUGUCAGAUUACCAGAUACUCAGUGGACAGUUUCAGUUUGCACAUCUUUGUAUACUUUGCAACAUAUUUCUGUAUUUAUGUUUACAAGUUUUUAUCCUCUUUUGUGUAUAUAGCUCAGGUAACGUGCUGUACGUUUUAAAUGAUCCAAAGCAGAUCAGCCAGUCAGACAUCUGAAACUGCUUCUGUUUUUGCAGGAAUGCUUCACUCGUGGUAGAAAGCAAACCUCCCCAGUGUUUGUGUAGCACCUGUAAAGAAAUUGUUCUCUCGAAGCAGUACAGCAAAAACUGAGAUUUACUGUGAUGUAAAUCUAUCAAGAGUUGAUUUCCACAAAUAGCUUGAAAAAUAAAGGAACAGAUAAACAAAAAGACUGCAAGAUCACUGUACGCUAACAAAAAAUUUAGUCAUGUUCCAGUGGUACUUGUUAGUGUGAAAAUGUUGCCCUAUGUUUCCACACUUCUGGUAUACAAUAACUAUAAUUAAAAAAAAAUUCUGUUUAAAUUACUUAUGUAGAUAAUUUAGGAACAAUGCAUAUAGCUGUGAUGUCUCUCUGCCUUUUAUAUGUGUAUUUUUCAUGGGCACAGCUUAAGAAAACAGCCUGAAAAGGAUGUUAGUGAUAGUAAAGAAAUUCACAGGCCUCCUUCACACUUCAUGCAAAAAUUGUUCUUGAAUCCAGCAGAUAAAAUAAUCAGAGAGAGCAGCACAUACCCAUGUUAAGGUAAUAGGGAGAAUACCCCAGUGAUGUGUUUCAGAGCAGAUCACAGGGUUGGUGAACAUCAACAUAUUGCCCUUGGUUUUGUGUCAGUAAUAAAAAUAGUGAUGAGGAUGGAGAUGAAAUAAGAUGUAUUUUUACUUCAAAAAUUUUUAUUGGGGGGAGGGAAUCCUCAUUUUGAGUGUAUUGUACUUGGAUUAUUUUAUAUACGGCCAGUUGCUGAGUGAUUGGUUUUGUUCAAACAUAAUAUUAAUUGGAAAGAGAUGUACUCAUGAGUUCCAGGAUAGGCUUUGGCAGCUGUUUCUUCUGCUGCUGUUCUGUUGUUGACUAAACUUUCCUUGUACUGAUCUUGUUCCUCCAGGUUCUCCUCUGUUUUCAAACUAAUAGUUCAUGACCAAUUUUUGCCUGUCACCACAGCUUUGAAGGAGCAGGGAGGGGAGGGGCUUGCUUUGAUCUCAAAAAUCCACCCAGGCUAAAAUAAUUUUGGAAGUAACAAUGAAGAGGAGCUGAAAGGGCUUUGUUGGCACAAUUGUUUGUUUAUAGAGUUUUGUUUUCUUUUAAUGUAAGACAGCCUAUUAUGUACUAAUUAAGUGGUUUAUAUUUACACAGUUUAUAAAAAGAAUGAGGGGUAGGCUGACAAUAUUUGGAGCACAUUUAAGGAUAAUUGGAUAGGUCCUGUGUUGUAUUUGAUAACUCCUGUAUUGGUUCUAAAAGCACAAACAAACAAGCUAAUACAUUCAUAUAUUCUUAACCUUGGCACUAAGUUAACUGAUUUUUUGGUCUGGGAGUCAUAGCAAGGAGCUCUUUCCAAUCUGUGUAGUUUAUUUCCAUUUUUGUCAGGAUACACACCGAGUAAGCUUCUAGCCACCAUCUGGUGAUGUGUGUGAGUAGACAGCCUCAGUGGCAGUGAAAGAGGCUGGAUGUGCCAAAGCUGGGGCUGGGAGCUUAGUCAGAACAUGCCAACACCUGUGCAGGGGACUGUUCUCAUCAGCUGUGUCAGCGACUCCACAAUGCUUGAGAUUGGCUCCAUUUUAUACCUUUUGGAGUGGUCCUUCUCUGUUUCUUUGGAAUAAGUUUGUUUUCUUAAAUAAUUUAUGAAUGUCAGGGUAGCUUUUAAAUUGGAGAUUUGGAGCUAUAAAUGUUGUUCCUAAUAAUACAAAUCCUGUUUUUAUUACUUUUAAAGGUCUUCUAACUAAUUGAAUUAAUUCAUCAUGAAUUUCCUGUCAGAAGUAUGUUACUGUAAUAAAGGUAAUGGGAGGAAACAAGAAAAGAGUAACCUUUUUGUCUCUCUUUGCAGCCAGAUGUAUCUGAGUGUCACUUUAGUAUGU